CGGAGUGUAGCGCAGCCUGGUAGCGCGUACGCCUGGGGGGCGUAAGGUCGUCGGUUCGAGCCCGGCCACUCCGACCA
rnacentral:tRNA from 1 species